rnacentral:rRNA from 1 species
GACAGAGGGUGCAAGCGUUGUUCGGAAUUAUUGGGCGUAAAGCGCGCGUAGGCGGCGAGACAAGUCAAAUGUGAAAUCCCAGGGCUUAACCCCGGAAGUGCAUUCGAAACUGUCUUGCUUGAGUUUCGGAGAGGGUGGUGGAAUUCCCAGUGUAGAGGUGAAAUUCGUAGAUAUUGGGAGGAACACCAGUGGCGAAGGCGGCCACCUGGACGAUGACUGACGCUGAGGCGCGAGAGCGUGGGGAGCAAACAGG